AGUAUCAAAUGAGCCCUAUCUGAAAGCUUCCUUGGCUUAUCUGCUGCUACAAGCCCGGGCAAAAACACAAAGAGAAGGACUUCAGUAUGGGAUAGCUGAGUGAGUUUUGGCCCCGAAGACUUCCCUUCUGGACCA